AUAAGGUCCGUCUGGCUGGGUGGGUGCAUGGGCACUGCUGGAAGGAGCUGCACGCUGGCACAGCACUGUAGUGCAGUGCUCCAUUGCAGAGCUCCAACACCGUGCUGAGCUGGGCUCUGCGCUGCAGACACCGGAUAGCACAGCUGCAGCCCAGCUAAGGGGGGAACACCAUUGCAGCCCCAUCUCAGGGAAACCCAGGGCACUGCGGCCACACCGUUCAGGCUGCAGAGCUCACCCUGCUGCUGCGCCCUCGCUGUGCUCCGGUGAGCGGUGCUGGGGCCAUCACCAUCCUGCUUGGGUCCUGUGUGGGCUGAGGAAUGCACGGAUGGCGGUGGGCAGUUGGCAGCCCAAGUGUCGUCUUUGCUCAGUGAUUCAUACAAGCUGUGACCUGCAGCCUGGAGCAGCACAUUGCUGGGGGCUGCACAGGAGCCAGCAGCAGGUUAUGCGCCAUCUCCUGCUGCAGAAGCCCGUUCUCUUGCAAGCUUCGGGGUGGAAAAAAUUCCGUCUCCGCUUGGACUCUAUUUGUUGCCGCAGUGUGAGGCUGAUUAGGGGUGACACAGCUCACAUGAAGCCAGGUAAUGCCUCAUGCGGCAGCAAGUGACCCAGAAACAUCCUGGAAAAGUGCAGCGAAGGAAAUCGCCGCUCGCUGGAAGUCAGGAUGUGCACCUCGCCGAGCACGGCGCAUCGCAGACGAGAGCCAACAGCGUGCUUGUUGUGUCCCAGGCUGAUGUCUGGAG
rnacentral:lncRNA from 1 species